CUUCCUUCUAACAAAUAGGUCACAUUUAGGAGUUUUGUGUGGUGAGCAUUUAGGUAAGUUUAUACAAGGAUGUUUGGUGCAAAAGAGUGCUGAUAAUACAAGUAUGCAUUGGGCAAAGUAGUACUGAUAAUGCAAGGAGGCAUUGUGCAAAGGAGUGCUGAUAAUGCAAUGAGACAUUGUGAAAAAGAGUGCUAAUAAUGGAUAUCCUGG